GUUGAAAGUGAAACAGCACAGACCUCCAACUAAGGUCCCAAAGUCAUAGCUAAGUGGGAAACGUAGUGGGAAGGCCCAGACAGCCAGGAGGUUGGCUUAGAAGCAGCCACACUUUAAAGAAAGCGUAAUAGCUCACUGGUCGAGUCGGCCUGCACGUAAGAUUUAACGGGGCUAAGCUAUGCACUGAUGUUGCGGAAUUUAUUUAGUAUAUUGGUAGGGGAGCGUUCUGUAAGCCGAUGAAGG
rnacentral:rRNA from 1 species